rnacentral:tRNA from 1 species
AUUAAGAUGUCUGAUAAGGUAAUAAAUUGUAAAUUUAUUUAUGAAUACGAAAUUAUUCUCUUAAUA